CGUAACCUCUACUCGACGUGGUCGAUUAUUUUUGGUCGUAGUACUGUUUUAUAAAUAGCCCAGUCUUGCAGCGAACUCCACUCAGCGAAGAUGAUUGCCAGUCGUAUUGGACGUCUGUUCUCCACCUCGGCCGCUAGGAUGAGUGGUCAUGGUCACGGACCCGACGGUGGAAUCCCCGGCAUUAACCUGCCUUUCGACAUCAGCAACAAGUACAAGCUGACUGCGUACUUUGUCAUCUACUGCGGAUCUGCCAUGUCCAUCCCCUUCCUAGUGCUCAGGCACGCGCUUACUAAGUAAUCUGGUUCUUCAUCAGAAAACUUUAGACAACAUUACCAUGUAUUGUUAAGUUACUUUUUAAAAUUACUCUAACGUUAUAGUUUGUAAAUAAAGAUGUAAUCCUUUGUUUA